rnacentral:lncRNA from 1 species
CUGGUGCGCGAGGACGACGACGCCCAGCGCCCCGACCCAUCGUGCCUCGUGGGCCGGCCCAUCUCCGCCGGGCCCAGAUCCAAGGCCAGCCUACCUCCUCCGCUUCCUGGGCCAGGCCCGCUAGGUGAGCGCCCGCCUAAACCUCGCCCUGAGCGUCUUUUAGUGAUCCCACGCUCAUGUGAUAUUCUGCUAAGUCCCCUAGAUUUUAGUAUUUUUGAGCAUAUUCAUCGCAUGAUAACUUCAUCAUUGUGGCUCCGUUUCGGGCGUGUAGCAUAUUAAAAUGUUCAUCUCAACGAAUACAUCAUUUCAUCUCAUGGCAUCAUUUUCAUUUGAGCUCAUCUUGAUGCCCGAAAUGCUGUUGGAAGAGGGUUAUGUGAUGAUAGUUUCAGAUUUGUUUCAACAUUUGCAUUUUUGUCAUUUUUACCAUGAUUAAUGUGUGCAUGCUAUGAUCCUGAGCUCUACAUGUGUUUUGAAGUAUGCCAUGCCAUCUUUACAGGGGUAUAUGCCAUGUAUUUUUGUGAUCUCUGUGGUGACUAGAACAAGCAUGCAAAGUAGCUUACUCAAUGAUGCUGAUUUCAGGGACUUAGAAUUUCACUAAGUCCUUGUCCUGCUGUAAUUUUUAUGCCAUGUGUUCAUGUUGUUUCCUAGUGAUCCGUGCCUCUUUUGAGCAUGAUCAGUAAGGAUGUUUUGUAGAUAAUGUUAUGCUCUAUCCAUCCAUGUCUUUGUUUGCAAUUAUGGAGCACCCUAGCUUGAGUCAAUCGAGCUCUACUUUUGCUAUAAAAUGUUCCUGGCAGAUUGUUAACAUGUUUAGCGAUUUCGCCGAGCUUGUUGUUGUUGAUCCGUGCAUGCUAUGUUGUUGUUCUUGCCAUGUAUAGCUUCUAUGCCAUGUCUACUUACUGGGUGUAUGCUUAGAUUAUCAUGCCUUGCCUUGUGGUGAGUGCAUCGAGCUCGUAAACAUGCCUACUUGAUAUCUGUUUUGCCAUGUUCUAGUUUUCUGCUAAGUCUGAAUCUGUUAUCGAUAUUUGCUAUGUUCGCGUGCUUGCAAUUGUAUUUUCUGAUCCCUUUUGGCCCAUGGUCACUAAGGGAAUUUUGUUGUAUGCUUUGAGUAGCUUCAUGCCAUACCUUGCCUUGCCAUGACAUGAUCCUGUAGCAUGUAGUUAUCGUGCUCUAAACAUUGCUUCCUGAUGAUAAUUCCUGACUUGCUGUUAACUUGACUGAGUCUGAAACCCGUAAUCUUUUGCACUUUUGCCAUGCUUAUUUGAACCUGCUAUUGAGUGAAUUAGCCUUAGCUCAGUGUUAAUCUUUUGUCAAGCAUCUUGAAUGGAUCCCUGCCAUGUAUUUUGUUGCUAUGUUAGAGUGAUGUAGCAUGUUGUUCUUGGUGCAUUUAGAUGGUCUCGUGCUGAUUAUCGCAGACCAGUGCCAUAUUUGUUUUGCUUGCCAUUUCCAAACCGUGCAUCCGAUUCCGGUGAUCUUUAUAUCGAGUUCGACCGAAAUCACCUCACCUUUCCAGUGAGACUCUUGGAUUUCCAAGUUGAGUCCAGGUUCAAUCAUUCCUUUCCAAAUCAUGCAUAUGCAUCACAUAUCGCAUCCCGCAUAUCAUACCAUGUUUGCAUCAUGUCGCUUGAGCAUUGCACGUGGUUGAUUGUGUUCCCUUUUUCUUGUUGUCUUGUUUUGGGUAGAGCUGGGAGACGAGUACGUGAUCGAAGAUCCCGUUGAGUACGAUUACGAGGAUCAAGGCAACUCUAAGAACUUUGUAGGCAAGAUGACCAUACCCUCGAAAUCACUUCUAUCUUUGCUUGCUAGAUGCUCGCUCUUUUGCUAUGCCUAUGCUGCGAUACCUACCACUUGCUUAUCAUGCAUCCCAUAUUGUUAAGCCGAGCCUCUAACCCACCUUGUCCUAGCAAACCGUUGUUUGGCUAUGUUAUCGCUUUGCUCAGCCCCUCUUAUAGCUUUGUCAGUUGCAGGUGAAGACUGGAGUUUGUUCCUUGUUGGAACGUGGAUAUUUUGUUGGGAUAUCACAAGAUCUCUUAUUUAAUUAAUGCAUCUAUAUACUUGGUAAAGGGUGGAAGGCUCGGCCUUAUGCCUGGUGUUUUGUUCCACUCUUGCCACCCUAGUUUCCGUCAUAUCGGUGUUAUGUUCCCGGAUUUUGCGUUCCUUACACGGUCGGGUUAUAAUGGGAACCCCUUGACAGUUUGCUUUGAAUAAAACUCCUCCAGCAAGGCCCAACCUUGAUUUUACCAUUUGCACUAACAACCUAUUACCCCUUCCCUUGGGUCGGCCAACCCAAGGGUCAUCUUUAUUUUAACCGCCCCCCCCCCCGGGCCAGUGCUUGUCUAAGUGUUGGUCCGAAAUGGGUAGCCUGCGGGGCCACCUCGGGGAAAAUUGAGGGCUGGUUUUACUCGUAGCUUGACCUAUCCGGUGUUGCCCUGAGAACGAGAUAUGUGUAGCUCCCAUCAGGAUGUCGGCGCAUCGGGCGGCUUUGCUGGACUUGUUUUACCAUUGUCGAGAUGUCUUGUAACCGGGAUGCCGAGUCUGAUCGGAUUGUCUUGGGAGAAGAAAUAUCCUUCGUUGACCGUGAGAGCUUGUGAUGGGCUAAGUUGGGACACCCCUGCAGCGAUUGAACUUUCGAAAGCCAUGCCCGCGGUUAUGGGCAGAUGGGAAUUUGUUAAUGUCCGGUUGUAGAAAACCUAAACCCUAACAUAAAUAAAACGCAUCAACCGCGUGUGUAGCCGUGAUGGUCUCUUCUCGGCGGGGUCCGGCAAGUGAACACGGUGUUGGAGUAAUGUUUGACAUAGGUUGUUCUAGGAUCACUUAUUGAUCAUAGUUCAUCGAUCAUGCUUUGCCUUAUCUUCUCGCUCUCUUUUGCGUAAGUUAGCCACCACAUAUGCUAGUCGCUUGCUGCAGCUCCACCUCAUAUCUUUUACCCUACCUAUAAGAUUAAAUAGUCUUGAUCGUGAGAUUGCUGAGUCCCCAUGACUCACAGAUACUUCCAAAACCAGUUUGCAGGUGCCGAUGUUACUGAGCAGGUGGCGCAACCAAGCUCAAGGAGGAGCUCGAUGAAGAUCUUGUCCUUUGUGUUGUUUCGUUCUAGUUGAUCAGUAGUGGAGCCCAGUUGGGGUCGAUCGGGGAUCUAUGUAGCAUUUUGGGUAGUCUUCGUUUUAUUUUGGUUUCAUAGUCGGACCUUGUUUGUAUCUGGAUGAUGUAAUGAUUUAUUCAUAUAUUGUGUGAAGUGGCGAUUGUAAGCCAACUAUGUAUCUUUCUCCCUUAUGUAUUACAUGGGUUGUGUGAAG